rnacentral:rRNA from 1 species
UGAAUGAAGAAACCCCUGUAGGUUCAGGGCGCGACGGUAGUUCAGGAAUAAGCACCGGCUAACUCCGUGCCAGCAGCCGCGGUAAUACGGAGGGUGCAAGCGUUGUCCGGAAUCACUGGGUGUAAAGGGUGUGCAGGCGGGGCAACAAGUCGAAUGUGAAACCCCAUGGUUCAACCAUGGAGGUGCAUUCGAAACUGUUGNUCUUGAGUCCCGGAGAGGCUGUCGGAAUUCGUGGUGUAGCGGUGAAAUGCGUAGAUAUCACGAGGAACACCAGAGGCGAAAGCGGGCAGCUGGACGGGUACUGACGUUCAGGCACGAAAGCGUGGGGAGCAAACAGGAUUAGAUACCCUGGUAGUCCACGCCGUAAACGAUGAACGCUCGCCGUUGCCCCGUCAAGGGGCAGUGGCUAAGCUAACGCGUA